AUGGGCUGCUGCCGCUCGUCGCUGCGGGCGGUGACGCACCCCCACCCGGAGAAGCCGCCGGGGACGGGCGCGGGGGCGGCGCCGAUGGCCAGGCGGCCGUCCUUCUCGGCGAGCGCGCACCGGGCCGCGCCGCCUCCGCCGGCGGCGGCGGCGGCGGCCUCGUCCUCCGAGGCGGGGUUCGCCGAGUUCUCGCUGGCGGAGCUGCGCGCGGCCACGGGCGGGUUCGCGCCGGAGAACAUCGUGUCCGAGAGCGGCGACAAGGCGCCCAACUUCGUCUACAGGGGCCGCCUGCAGCAGGGGCAGGGGCAGGGCCCCCGCCGCGCGAUCGCCGUCAAGAAGUUCGGCAAGAUGGCCUGGCCCGACCCCAAGCAGUUCGCGGAGGAGGCCAGGGGGGUGGGCAGGCUGCGCCACCGCCGGCUCGCCAACCUCAUCGGCUACUGCUGCGACGGGGACGAGCGCCUGCUCGUCGCCGAGUUCAUGCCCAACGACACCCUCGCCAAGCACGUCUUCCACUGGGAAAACCAGACUAUUGAAUGGGCUAUGCGUCUAAGAGUCGCGUACCACAUAGCUGAGGCGCUGGACUACUGCAGCAACGAGGGUAGACCUUUAUAUCAUGACCUAAAUGCAUAUAGGGUCCUUUUUGAUGAGAAUGGUGAUCCUCGCCUUUCAUGCUUUGGUUUGAUGAAAAACAGCAGAGAUGGGAAAAGUUAUAGCACAAACCUUGCAUACACACCUCCAGAAUAUUUGAGAACUGGAAGAGUCACUCCAGAAAGUGUCAUAUUCAGCUUUGGCACCGUACUACUGGACCUUCUAAGUGGAAAACGCAUACCUCCUUCCCAUGCUCUUGACAUGAUGCGAGGCAACAAUAUCCAAAUGUUGAUGGAUUCACAUUUGGAAGGAAACUACUCAACAGAAGAGGCAACCGCUUUGGUAGAUCUUGCCUCCCAGUGUUUGCAGUAUGAAGCUAGGGACCGCCCCAAUACAAAAAAGCUGGUUAACAUACUUGAGCCCUUGCAAACAAAAUUAGAGGUACCGUCCUACGAGAUGCUUGGCAUACCAAAGCAUGAGGAAGAAGUACCUCCACCUCCUGCCCCACAACCACCACAACACCCUCUUUCUCCCAUGGCUGAGGCCUGUUCUAGGAUGGACCUGACAGCUAUCCAGCAGAUCCUUGUAUCGACACAUUACAGAGACGACGAAGGCAGUAAUGAGCUAUCAUUCCAGGAAUGGACGCAGCAGAUGAGGGACAUGUUGGACGCCAGGAAACGUGGGGAUCUAGCUUUUCGUGACAAAGAUUUCAAGACAGCCAUAGAAUGCUAUACACAGUUUGUUGAUGUGGGCACAAUGGUAUCGCCGACGGUGUAUGCCCGAAGGAGCUUGUGUCACCUCAUGUGCGACCAGCCCGACGCUGCCCUCCGGGACGCGAUGCAAGCGCAAUGCGUGUACCCCGAAUGGCCAACUGCAUUCUAUAUGCAAGCCGUCGCGCUUUCGAAGCUAGAUAUGCAGAGCGACGCCAAGGACAUGUUGAGUGAGGCUUCGCAGCUAGAAGAGAAGAAGCAAAAGAACUCGAGAUGA
rnacentral:rRNA from 1 species